AACCAUAGUGAUAAAAUACGCAUUCUAACCACGCCUUCCGCAGUCUCCGUAAUUUGAUUGACAGGCGGAUGCGGCGCGGUUUUUAUAACUAUUAUGCAUGAUGUACACACAGAGCGAACCCGAUCGUCUUUACCCAUAAUUGCUCCUGAAGCGCGCGUUCACGUUUUUACCACCGGGCGCAAGUGUUUUGCUGUUCAGUGCACGAGCGCAUGUCGCAUGAGAUGUUGAUAUAUUGAAAUAAUGUUUGUUUUUAUAAUUAACUAUAGUUAAUAGUUAUUAUUCUCACUGAUAUUUUGUUGCUCACAGGGGCGAUGGGUUUUGUUUUUGCUGCCAGCAUUAAAUAAACCUUUGCCAGAAACAACGAUAGCCUAUAGAUUUUAUUUUGGGAGAUGGGCAGCACAGCAAUGGAUUCUAAGAAGAAAGAUGAGAAGAAAUUUUCAAGAAAGAAGAAAAGCCUAAGGAUAAAUAUGCCGGAUUUGAGCUCCUUUGCAAUGCCAUUUCUGGAAGGAGAUGCUGAACCUUCGAACAAGGACAGCAUACGCAAGGGGGAGCACAGCUGUCGAUCAGCCAGCCCGACCAAAAGCUUCUUUAGCCGGGUGCCGUUUAGCCGACCAUCUAGCCCCAUGUCUGCCCCGCCCCGGACCAGAAACAGCCCUGGAUCCCCUAAAUCCAUCUUCCCCUACCCUUCCAACCACGAUGCCUCUCCAAAAUGUUCACGUCGCUACAGUUUCACCGGAAUGUUCCGUUCCUCUCCCAAGGACUCCACGAAUCCCUCAACCUCUCCUGUCAGCAUCAAACUCUUCUCUCGCUCCAGGAAAGCCUCUGGGAUCUCCUCAUCACCCACCACUCCAACGCAACUGACCAAGCAGACUCCAUCAUUUCAUGUGGAAGUCAGUCAAAAUGACACAGUUCCCCGUUCCUUAUCGUCGCCCCUGGAUACCAGACGGCAUCAGAGCCCACCUGUUACAAAGCCACCACCUAGUCCCUGCUCAGCACCUAUCUCUACCUCACGUGCGGUCCACGGUUUAUCUGAAGACAUGCUGGAGAAGCUCGAUCUCGAGGAUGAAGCUGUUGAACAAUCCGAGAGUGACAUUUACAUGCGAUUCAUGAAGUCACAUAAGUGCUAUGACAUCGUCCCUACCAGCUCCAAGCUAGUGGUCUUUGACACAACACUGCAGGUUAAAAAGGCGUUUUUUGCCCUGGUGGCCAAUGGGGUACGAGCCGCCCCCCUGUGGGAAACCAAGAAACAAAGUUUUGUGGGCAUGCUAACCAUCACAGACUUCAUCAACAUACUUCACAGAUACUACAAAUCACCCAUGGUACAAAUCUAUGAGCUUGAAGAACAUAAGAUUGAAACAUGGAGAGAGCUUUAUCUACAAGAAACAUUUAAACCUUUAGUUAACAUAUCUCCGGAUGCAAGCAUAUUUGAUGCCGUGUAUUCACUGAUCAAAAACAAGAUUCACCGGCUGCCCGUCGUCGACCCCGUUAGUGGGAAUGCACUUUACAUUUUGACGCACAAGAGGAUCCUUAAAUUCCUACAGCUGUUUGUGUGUGAGAUGCCAAAGCCUGCCUUUAUGAAGCAGACGCUGGAAGAGCUAAGCAUCGGGACCUACAGCGACAUCGCCUUUAUUCACCCCGACACGCCAAUCAUCAAAGCGCUCAACAUCUUUGUGGAGAGGAGAGUGUCCGCUCUGCCUGUGGUAGAUGAGUCGGGAAAAGUUGUAGAUAUUUAUUCCAAGUUUGAUGUCAUUAAUCUUGCUGCUGAGAAGACGUACAAUAACCUGGACAUCAGCGUGACCCAGGCGCUCAUGCACAGGUCUCAGUACUUCGAAGGGGUCAUGAAGUGCAACAGAUUGGAGACGUUGGAGACGAUAGUAGAUAGGAUAGUUAAGGCUGAGGUGCACAGACUGGUUGUGGUGGAUGAGAACGGCAGCAUUGUGGGCAUCGUCUCUCUGUCGGAUAUCCUCCAGGCACUCGUUCUCAACCCCGCAGGUAUAAACGCCCAGCAUUCCUAAAGCUCAUUUCCUGCAGGACACUUCACCUUCCAUCCCUCCCGCCCAUACCACAGGUAUGAAAAGGAAGGACAGUGAAGCAGAAACAGAGUGACGUUUGCUGGGAUGGCCGGGUCAUGUGACAUCGCUUACUGAGACGGGUGUAGGAGUUAGCGGAGGCACACUGGAGGUCUUUAAAGAUGUGUUGGCCGCAGGAAUGGAUCCAAGAAACUGGGGCUUGACCUUAAUGUGUGCUAAUGGAGGGCAAGAGAAGGUUUAAUAGAUAGUUAGAGAUUGGUUAAGAGACAGGAUGGAUGUAUAGAGCGAUAAGGUGGAUCAUCUUCUCAUUCAGAAGAGUACUGUGAGUUUUGCCUCUUGUAUCACACUAAGCUUCUGCACGUACUCUAUGAUAAAG